ensembl:lncRNA
AGCUUCUGCAUAACAAAUGACCCUCGGUGCUGCUCUUGGAGACUUAGUCACAGAAUGCAGAGCCAUGGGUACCUGUUCACGUGGCAUCUCCAUGUUUGCAUCUGACAUGGAUAUUCAAGACCUGCCUGGACUCUAUCCUCCUCAACCUACUGUGGAGAAGAGCUGCCAUGCUGUGAUGAUCAUUGGCCAGUUGCACUCCCCUGGACACAUCUCACCAGGAUGUACGCAUGCUUGCUAAGCUGCAGAAGUGGGACUCACAGCCGUCUCCAGAGGACUGUGAAAGAUGGGGGUCAGCUCUCCUCCAGCCGGGAUGAGGACCCUGCCCCUAUUUCUGCCUGGGGAAGGGCAAGAUGCACUGAGUUAGGACCCCGUCAUCCUCUCACUGGACCUGCGUUGAACAGAGCUGGGCCCAUCUCGCAUACUUUCCGCUAGCAGCUCGAAGGAUUUAGGGCUGGAGGUGGACUAAUAGCAACAUUUUAAUGAGAAGAAAGAUGCAGAAGGACAUCUUCAUUUCACACGAAGGACUAGGCAUCUGCCUGGAAGUUUAGGGUCGCAGAGAGAGGCUGAAGCAGAGAAGGGGAAAGAAACGCACCUGUCUGAAUUGCCAGCCUACAGACCCAGGCUCCCUCUGCAAUCACUGCCACAGAAAGGAAAGAUUGAAUGAAUGGAAAAGUUGUGAGAAGACAUGGAAGAAGCAAUGUUGUUGAUGGAGCACCGAUCCAUCCUGGAGCAGGGAGUCAGCAACAGCCCUCUGAACCCAGACCCUUUUGACUGCUUGACUUUCCUGUAACUGGUUGAGAGGCACUGGGAAAGCCAAUGGAAGCAAAUCUGAAAUGCAAUCAAAAGAGAAGACAGUGAUAGGGCAACCAUUUCAUCUCGCAUCUGUAGACCAUAUGCUAUUCUGUAGCCAUUUGGUGUGGGUCUCUUUGGACAUAAAAGGAGGACUGCAUAUGGAAAAUAUCUACAGGAGCUGAAAGCCCAACCUUAGGCACCACAUGUAUUUCAGCUAAGUUCGCCUGACCUGCUGUCUGGACUCAGCAACUGGAGGACGCUGUAUGCUGACACGACUACAUGGCUUUGGAUCAACUCAAGGGGUAAGCGGUGGAGACUGCCUCUGUUUGCUCUUGGACUACUUAUUUGCCUUGAAAAAGGAAAAGAAAAUGAACCGAUGGCUUGGAAAAUAUCGCUCUUAAAGUCUGUCAGAAGUCCGUGCAAAGCAAAUUGAGCUCCUUGUUAGGGAAUAAUGCAUCUUUUUUCCCCUCAGCUUAGAGCUAUAUUUUUUUAAUAGCAAGAGCUGGCGUGUGCAAAGGGUGGGGUUUGAAUUUCAUGUGUGGUAAUGAUUCCUCAGUAACUCCCAGGUUCUGUACUUCAGCACUUCGCUCAGAGCCUCUUCUUGCAGUGUAGCAUCAUGUGCUCCCAGAUGGAGCUGGAAGGAGACUGGCGUGGCUUGGAGGAGAACCCUGGAGAAUUGGCUGUUCUGCAAGAGCUGCUCGGGAUUAGUUCUCCAGACAGACAAUUUCUAAAUCUGGUUUGCCCUGAAUGUUGAGACAACAUUUGUGGCUGGUUGUGUAGAUGUGAAUGAGUGUGAGUAAAUGGCUCUUGGCAGGCAGACAGGCGCAGUUGUUUAUCCCAGACACAAAC